rnacentral:lncRNA from 1 species
CAUAUAAUAAAACUAGUAAUUUCAUAUAAAUAAAGAAACAAGUGUAAGGAAUGAAAAUUAAAGAUACAACCGAAUUCUCAGUACGGUCACCCGCAAAUAGAAACCCUCGUUCGUGAUGCGGAGCUUUCGAGAGAAAGAAAGAAAGAAAGAAAGAAAGAAAGAAAGAAAGAAAGAAAAAAAUACAGUACUACGAGACGGACAUUGGUGAUCGAUUUCACGUGACGAGAUCGGCUAAGAAUGGAAAGGAAACCGUUGUUUUGUAUGAGAAUGCAAAUCGUCGAGUCAGCAGGGAGAUGUUGCUUUUUCGCGACCUGAUAAUUAUACUACGAGAAAUCGUACGAGAAAUUCUUACAAUCAAAUUCAAUCGAUGUCAAUAGGUGCUUACGAAUGAUCAGUUAUAUAGAAGAAUCAAUGUACGAUAAACUACAAUGAAUUCUUAGAGAUGAUGGAUUGUACAAAAAGCACGAUACGUUGUUUCAAAAAUCUCGAUCGAUAUUUGAUUGAUCAUCUCUUUCCUAGGAAUUUCAAUUAUUUCGAUGACAUGCUUAUGCACGGUAUUUGUCAACAGGAUAUUUACAAUUCUUAUUUCUCUAAUGCAACAACACGUUUAUUAAAAGCCAUUUCGUUUUAACGAGAAUCAAUUGAUCUUCAAUUGAACUUCACGUUUACGUAUGAUAGUUCUCAAAAAGGAAUUAUUUCGAAUGUACUCGAUUUUACAGAAGAAAUUAACUCGAGCAACCUUUCGUGAGUAGUCACGUAUUUGUACGGCUGUUAUGCGAUCAAGGUACAUAAUGCAGUAAUCUUAAAUGGCGUGGGAGAUGUAGGAUCAUAAUAACGCCCAGAAAACCAAUCGUUGAAGACAUUGUCUUUAUACAAAAAGGAAACGUUGUGUACAAAAGAAAAAUAAAUAAAUAAAUAAAAAAAGAAAAAAGAGAACAAGAUAAAAAAGGAAAUAAAAAAGAUGAUGAUGGUAAAGAAACCGAUGAACGUGUAUCGUAUAUUUGGGUCAGUGGCACAACACGUGAAUGCGUGAAAUCGUAAGUCAAUGACCUGAUCGAUGACCUGUUGACUUAGAGAGGGUACAUUACUUACGAAUGAGAAAGAAUCUAACCAAUGUUCACGGAAGUAAAUAUGUGUAGUAUGUAUGCGAAUGGAAGCCAACUCUGUAAUAAACCAGAGAGGAAAGAACAUCUUUUUCUCGUUCUCUACGUUGCAUUAGUAAAUAAUGAUACACUUUAAAAUGAAUAAUAAAUUGUUACUAAUUGAA